AAGCUCUCCUCUUUCCCCUCUCAGUGCCACGCAUUCCCUCUCUGCAGCUACUGUCAUCGGAAGACCCUGGCUGAGCGGCGGAGUCAUUGAUGUCAGAUUCACCAUUCUCGCUUUUAGAGAUCAACCAAGCAUUCACAGUUGAUUCGGACGACAACAACAAUUGCUCAUAGAUACAAAUUGGGUUGUCAGUGUCAAGGGCUUGGGUAGGAUGCUCUUGUGUGCAGAUUCAAAUAGUUGAAUCUUUACUAUUUAUUAGACGUAGGAAGGAUUCACUUUUAUAAUCAUCAUUCGUAACCAUUAUAAAUAUCCUGCUUCAGUUUAAGAAUAUAUUACUAUAUAUAAUUGGGGGAAGACGGAGAUAAUGAAAGGCGGAAGGAAGAAUCUGAAGAGGGCAACAGAGGAAUAUAACUUAACGCUUGAACAUGGCCAAAGCAUCAUGCAAGUGGUGUCUCUUAGAGGUUCCAAUCUCAUUGAGGUAAUGGACGCAAGAGGUGAGAAGUCAUUGGCGUU
rnacentral:misc_RNA from 1 species